ACGGAAGGCAGCAGUGGGGGAUAUUGCACAAUGGGGGAAACCCUGAUGCAGCGACGCCGCGUGAGGGAAGAAGGUUUUCGGAUUGUAAACCUCUGUCUUAUGGGACGAUAAUGACGGUACCAUAGGAGGAAGCCACGGCUAACUACGUGCCAGCAGCCGCGGUAAUACGUAGGUGGCAAGCGUUGUCCGGAAUUACUGGGUGUAAAGGGAGCGUAGGCGGGAAUGCAAGUUGAAUGUUUAAUCUAUCGGCUCAACUGAUAGUCGCGUUCAAAACUGCGUUUCUUGAGUGAAGUAGAGGCAAGCGGAAUUCCUAGUGUAGCGGUGAAAUGCGUAGAUAUUAGGAGGAACACCAGUGGCGAAGGCGGCUUGCUGGGCUUUUACUGACGCUGAGGCUCGAAAGUGUGGGUAGCAAACAGGAUUAGAUACCCUGGUA
rnacentral:rRNA from 1 species